rnacentral:misc_RNA from 1 species
GUUGGGGUUUGGUUCGGGGGAGAAAAAUUAUUGUGUCUUUUAAAUGAAACUUUUAGCAAGGUUCAAUGGAUCUAGUGGGUUUGACUUUGAUAGAAAAAAUUUUGAAUAUAUGUGAUGACAAAGUAAUGUUUUAGCAGAGGCAUCAAAUAAAAAUCAAUAAAUUGUUGAGCAAAGUACAAAAAGUGCCAUGUAGUUAGGGUGAUUUCAAGUAGGAUUCUGUGGCAUGGCUUUGACAAACUAGUACCACAUGGUUCAGUCCAUUAGUAAAGAAGGUCCAAAAAUUCUAACACCACUAAUGGCUGCUGACACGGCACUAUUUUUCUGUCCACCUGGUCUAUAGCGACAUCAGCAGCAAUUAGCCGUAUUAGGGUGUUUGGACCUUCUUUGC